GUUUUAUUCCAUAAAAACCUUCCACAACAAUGUCUCUGCAGUGGAACCAGGAAUCCUUUGAAACCAGGAGCCAAUUAACAUCUCCUUCAAUCUCUUAUCCAUUAUUUCCUUGGCCAACUCGCCCACAAGGGUCAGUUGAAAGGAGUGCAGUAUCCAGUGGAAUGUGAAUCAUUUGUGAGGCUAUUGUGUCUCUACUGAGUGCAAAGUUCUACGCCAAGACAGUAAGAGCAGGAGCAGCUACGUGCAUGGCAGCAGAGAAAUGUACUGAUCACCAUGGAGGAAGAGGGGAAAAGAC
rnacentral:lncRNA from 1 species